rnacentral:rRNA from 1 species
GGGUGAGUAACGCGUGGAUAAUCUACCCCUCAGUUGGGAAUAACUCAUCGAAAGGUGGGCUAAUACCGAAUAAUACUGCAUGACUUCUGUUGUGUAGUCAAAGAUGGCCUCUGCUUGCAAGCUAUCGCUGAAGGAUGAGUCCGCGUACCAUUAGCUAGUUGGUAGGGUAAUGGCCUACCAAGGCAACGAUGGUUAGCUGGUCUGAGAGGAUGAUCAGCCACACUGGAACUGAGACACGGUCCAGACUCCUACGGGAGGCAGCAGUGAGGAAUAUUGCGCAAUGGGGGCAACCCUGACGCAGCAACGCCGCGUGAGUGAGGAAGGUUUUCGGACCGUAAAGCUCUGUCGAGCGGGAAGAAAUGCAUAGUGGCUAAUAUCCAUUAUGCUUGACGGUACCGCUAAAGGAAGCACCGGCUAACUCCGUGCCAGCAGCCGCGGUAAUACGGGGGGUGCUAGCGUUGUUCGGAAUCAUUGGGCGUAAAGAGCGUGUAGGCGGCUGGAUAAGUCAGAUGUGAAAGCCCUGGGCUUAACCCAGGAAGUGCAUUUGAAACUGUUCAGCUUGAGUAAGGGAGAGGAAAGUGGAAUUCCUGGUGUAGAGGUGAAAUUCGUAGAUAUCAGGAGGAACACCGGUGGCGAAGGCGACUUUCUGGCCCUAUACUGACGCUGAGACGCGAGAGCGUGGGUAGCAAACAGGAUUAGAUACCCUGGUAGUCCACGCCGUAAACGAUGUUCACUAGGUGUUGGGGGUAUUGACCCUCUCAGUGCCGCAGCUAACGCA